GGGCCUGUAGUUCAGCUGGUUAGAACUCUCCGCUCAUAACGGAGCUGUCGCGGGUUCGAGUCCUGCCGGGCCUACCA
rnacentral:tRNA from 1 species